UCAUUGCAUAAGGCAUGAAAGCAGAAAAUGAGAGACACAGAGAGAGUAUAAGAUAAUAUCUUGCAGCUACGAGACAAUAUUUUUCACCUUUCACUUAAUUAACAUAAUGCCAGAAUUGCCCAAAAAGUAAUCGAGGGCCCCAAAUUGUGUUGAGAACAUUGAUUUGUUAAACUUGUUGAUUGAUUUGCAGAAAAAUUGCCUGUGCACUGUAACAUAAUUUCAGGUCACAUUUUAAAAGUCAUCUUCUGUUUAGUGAUGUAAGGAGCUUCAUAUUUUAAAACUAGAUCUAACUUUUAUUUUCCUUCUAAUUAUACUUCUCCCUAGUAAGAAAAAUCUCUUUUUAACCUUUUAUCUCCCAGGUACUCGUCAUCGUCAUCCUGGACUGAAACCACCAUGCUGCGUUGACAUCACCAAAGGCAAUAAGACUGCUGACGUGGUGGGGGAAACAUAUCGUGAGCAGGCUGCAAGCGGAAGCUGUGUGAAGGCUAUAAUUUUUAACACAAAAGAUAGGAAACAACUUUGUGCUGAUCCAGAUGCUCAGUGGGUCAAAGAUCUCACUGCCAAAAUGAAGAAGGUGUGAAGUCUGUCUGCUGCAUCAGUAUUUCCAGUAUUUCCAUCACCUUUAAAGGAUUAUUCAAACCAGAGCGCUUUCUCAGCCUGACUGUCUUAAAACUUUCUUUUUUGCAUUUGUCGAUUAAUUUUUACUCUAACCUGUGGCAUAAACCUGUAUUUUAUUCAUGCUGUUGACUUCAUUGUUUUUUAAUUGAUCAUUGGCGUUCAGGUUUUAUUUGUCCUUUUUUUUUUUGUCUUAUUUGUGAAUCUCUUUCUGUGCAUCAUGUGUUUAUGUGAAGUGCAAUGUGGUAAUACAAAAAUAAACUUUGGUAUUAUUGAGCAAUUUUUUUUCUUCUGUUGUUUCAGUGCCCACCAGACUCUCACAAAUAGUCACACACUGUCAUGGUCCUGGGCCAUGUUGGCCCAGUGUUCUUAGUUUUCUUGUAUGUUUGUAUU